rnacentral:lncRNA from 10 species
GUUUUUUUUUUUGUUUUGUUUUUUUAAAAGAUAUAUGGAUGUGAGGUUGAGACCCUCAUAAGAGGUUACGUUAGGUGGAAGCCCAGACCUUACUGAUGUUGUUCACUUCUGGGAUAAUUCUAAGUACUAAGCUACAUCUCCAAUUAUUUCUUUCUUUAUUUUCCUGGAUCCAGGGCCAGACCUGUUUCCUUCCGUGCUUCUACCUUCUAUUACUUCAGAGGCGGGUUUUCCACCCCAAUAGACCCACUAUGAAGAAUGCAGUUUCACAGCUUGUCCUCAGCCCUCCUAUUCCUGAAAGAAACCUUCCUUUAUUUUGAGAAUUUCAAAGAGUUUUUAUAGCUAACAACAAUGAGAAAAACACAGGGGGUAAAAUGACAUACUAGACAAAAGUCACAAACUUUCAAAUCAGAUCAAACGGGGGAAAAAAGACCAUUUCUGGUUUUCAUUAGCAUGUAAAUGGUAGUAGAUUCUAGUCUUCCACCAUCCAAAUUUUCCACAGCUGUCUUCUACCUCCUCUCUCCAUGAUGUAGCUUCCUCCACCCCCCAUCCUUCUACCCCAUCACUUAUUACAUAACACAAGGAAAGACAAAAGCCACAUGGGUGAGAAGGGUGGGUCUUUUUAGUACACAAAGAACUGAAGUGAGGUUCAUCUACAUUUCAGAGGAAACCCCAGAUGAUAUUCGUCUCUUUACAAAGAAACGUUAUCAUUAAAGAGUUCCUUUGGAAUAGAUGCUGAGCUUAAGAUGUUUAGGAUGAGGCCCUAAGUUUAAGGCUAAAAGAAUCAGGGGUAUUUAUAUUUUCUUUGUGUGUCAGUAUGUUUGGGGACAUGGUAGUGGGAACAGGGAGAAAAUGAAGUCAUAGGGAGCAUUCAGUCUUUUCUUCUUAUAUAAAAAGAUGAGCCUGCAUAAUACCUUAUUUGGUUAACAACUGAAAACAGAUGAUUAAUGGGGGAACUUGUGUACUUAUAGAGAUACUAUAGGUAUAUAGUACGUCCCUAUACUAUUAUCCCUCCCUAUUAUCUCUACUAUAAAGAUACUACAGAAACUUAUAGCAUCUCUAGAGUAUACUAUAUGGAGUAUAUAUAUUAUCUCUCUAUAUAGAGAUACUAUAUAGAUAGUAGAGUAUAAAUAAUAUAUAGUCUAGAGAUACUCUAUAGUCUAUUCCAUAUAUCUAUAUAGUAAAGAGAUACUAUAGUAUCUCUAUACUAUACUCUAGAGGUACUAUAGGGACACUAUAGUAUCUCUGUAGAGACCUACAGUAUCUCUUUAUUAUUUUAUAAGUAACAUAAGAGUUUCUACAUAUCCUUAAUUCAUUCUAGGUAAGAGUACCUGAAGAAUAGAACUGUAUUUCUUAAUAAGUAUUAUAUUUGAACUUUUCCAAGUUGGAUAUGAGUUUCCUGUUUCUCAUAUUUACUAUAGGAAUUAUUUAAUGAACUAUUUACAUAGAAUAUAUAUAUAUAUAUAAUGUAUACCCUGUAUAUUGCCAAAUAUAUCAGUGCUGUUCAGUAGAAAUAUGUGAGCCAUACAUAAGUUUCUAGUAGCCACAUUAAAUAAAAGGAAAUAUGUAAAAUUAAUUUUUAUAAUAUUUUACUUCGUCCAGUGUUUCUAGGUUAUCACUUCAUGUAAUAAAAAUUGAGAUACUUUUUUUUUUCAUACUAAGUCUUUGAAAUUCAGUGUGCAUUUUACACUUACGGCACAUCUAAAUUCGAAUUAAACACAUAUCAAGAGCUAAAAUCACAUGUGGCCAGUGGCUACCAUAUUGGAUAGUGUAGAUCUAGAUUAUUAUUUUUUAAGAUCUACUAGCAUCAUAGUACCAGGAAAACCAUUGGACUUGGAAUCUAGAAGGUUAGGUGCUGUCAGGAGCAAUGUGAUUGAUCUGGGGCUUGUUUUCUUAACUUCUCUAGGUCUCGGUAUCCUAUCAGAGGGAGAGUUUAGAAUAAAUAACAUGCAGUUUGGAAGCAAUUCAAACAUUAUGAAAUAAUCAUUUUGUUUCAAUACACUUCA